UACGUAGGGGGCUAGCGUUGUCCGGAAUCAUUGGGCGUAAAGCGCGUGUAGGCGGUCCGGUAAGUCAGCUGUGAAAGUCAAGGGCUCAACCCUUGAAUGCCGGUUGAUACUGUCGGGCUAGAGUCCGGAAGAGGCGAGUGGAAUUCCCGGUGUAGCGGUGAAAUGCGUAGAUAUCUGGAGGAACACCGGUGGCGAAGGCGGCGAUCCUGGACCGGCAUUGACGCUGAGGCGCGAAAGCCAGGGGAGCAAACGGG
rnacentral:rRNA from 1 species